rnacentral:rRNA from 1 species
UACACGGUGGAUGCCCUGGCAGUCAGAGGCGAUGAAGGACGUGCUAAUCUGCGAUAAGCGUCGGUAAGGUGAUAUGAACCGUUAUAACCGGCGAUUUCCGAAUGGGGAAACCCAGUGUGAUUCGUCACACUAUCAUUAACUGAAUCCAUAGGUUAAUGAGGCGAACCGGGGGAACUGAAACAUCUAAGUACCCCGAGGAAAAGAAAUCAACCGAGAUUCCCCCAGUAGCGGCGAGCGAACGGGGAGCAGCCCAGAGCCUGAAUCAGUGUGUGUGUUAGUGGAAGCGUCUGGAAAGGCGCGCGAUACAGGGUGACAGCCCCGUACACAAAAAUGCACAUGCUGUGAGCUCGAUGAGUAGGGCGGGACACGUGGUAUCCUGUCUGAAUAUGGGGGGACCAUCCUCCAAGGCUAAAUACUCCUGACUGACCGAUAGUGAACCAGUACCGUGAGGGAAAGGCGAAAAGAACCCCGGCGAGGGGAGUGAAAAAGAACCUGAAACCGUGUACGUACAAGCAGUGGGAGCACGCUUAGGCGUGUGACUGCGUACCUUUUGUAUAAUGGGUCAGCGACUUAUAUUCUGUAGCAAGGUUAACCGAAUAGGGGAGCCGAAGGGAAACCGAGUCUUAACUGGGCGUUAAGUUGCAGGGUAUAGACCCGAAACCCGGUGAUCUAGCCAUGGGCAGGUUGAAGGUUGGGUAACACUAACUGGAGGACCGAACCGACUAAUGUUGAAAAAUUAGCGGAUGACUUGUGGCUGGGGGUGAAAGGCCAAUCAAACCGGGAGAUAGCUGGUUCUCCCCGAAAGCUAUUUAGGUAGCGCCUCGUGAAUUCAUCUCCGGGGGUAGAGCACUGUUUCGGCAAGGGGGUCAUCCCGACUUACCAACCCGAUGCAAACUGCGAAUACCGGAGAAUGUUAUCACGGGAGACACACGGCGGGUGCUAACGUCCGUCGUGAAGAGGGAAACAACCCAGACCGCCAGCUAAGGUCCCAAAGUCAUGGUUAAGUGGGAAACGAUGUGGGAAGGCCCAGACAGCCAGGAUGUUGGCUUAGAAGCAGCCAUCAUUUAAAGAAAGCGUAAUAGCUCACUGGUCGAGUCGGCCUGCGCGGAAGAUGUAACGGGGCUAAACCAUGCACCGAAGCUGCGGCAGCGACGCUUAUGCGUUGUUGGGUAGGGGAGCGUUCUGUAAGCCUGUGAAGGUGUGCUGUGAGGCAUGCUGGAGGUAUCAGAAGUGCGAAUGCUGACAUAAGUAACGAUAAAGCGGGUGAAAAGCCCGCUCGCCGGAAGACCAAGGGUUCCUGUCCAACGUUAAUCGGGGCAGGGUGAGUCGACCCCUAAGGCGAGGCCGAAAGGCGUAGUCGAUGGGAAACAGGUUAAUAUUCCUGUACUUGGUGUUACUGCGAAGGGGGGACGGAGAAGGCUAUGUUGGCCGGGCGACGGUUGUCCCGGUUUAAGCGUGUAGGCUGGUUUUCCAGGCAAAUCCGGAAAAUCAAGGCUGAGGCGUGAUGACGAGGCACUACGGUGCUGAAGCAACAAAUGCCCUGCUUCCAGGAAAAGCCUCUAAGCAUCAGGUAACAUCAAAUCGUACCCCAAACCGACACAGGUGGUCAGGUAGAGAAUACCAAGGCGCUUGAGAGAACUCGGGUGAAGGAACUAGGCAAAAUGGUGCCGUAACUUCGGGAGAAGGCACGCUGAUAUGUAGGUGAAGUCCCUCGCGGAUGGAGCUGAAAUCAGUCGAAGAUACCAGCUGGCUGCAACUGUUUAUUAAAAACACAGCACUGUGCAAACACGAAAGUGGACGUAUACGGUGUGACGCCUGCCCGGUGCCGGAAGGUUAAUUGAUGGGGUCAGCGCAAGCGAAGCUCUUGAUCGAAGCCCCGGUAAACGGCGGCCGUAACUAUAACGGUCCUAAGGUAGCGAAAUUCCUUGUCGGGUAAGUUCCGACCUGCACGAAUGGCGUAAUGAUGGCCAGGCUGUCUCCACCCGAGACUCAGUGAAAUUGAACUCGCUGUGAAGAUGCAGUGUACCCGCGGCAAGACGGAAAGACCCCGUGAACCUUUACUAUAGCUUGACACUGAACAUUGAGCCUUGAUGUGUAGGAUAGGUGGGAGGCUUAGAAGUGUGGACGCCAGUCUGCAUGGAGCCGACCUUGAAAUACCACCCUUUAAUGUUUGAUGUUCUAACGUUGACCCGUAAUCCGGGUUGCGGACAGUGUCUGGUGGGUAGUUUGACUGGGGCGGUCUCCUCCUAAAGAGUAACGGAGGAGCACGAAGGUUGGCUAAUCCUGGUCGGACAUCAGGAGGUUAGUGCAAUGGCAUAAGCCAGCUUGACUGCGAGCGUGACGGCGCGAGCAGGUGCGAAAGCAGGUCAUAGUGAUCCGGUGGUUCUGAAUGGAAGGGCCAUCGCUCAACGGAUAAAAGGUACUCCGGGGAUAACAGGCUGAUACCGCCCAAGAGUUCAUAUCGACGGCGGUGUUUGGCACCUCGAUGUCGGCUCAUCACAUCCUGGGGCUGAAGUAGGUCCCAAGGGUAUGGCUGUUCGCCAUUUAAAGUGGUACGCGAGCUGGGUUUAGAACGUCGUGAGACAGUUCGGUCCCUAUCUGCCGUGGGCGCUGGAGAACUGAGGGGGGCUGCUCCUAGUACGAGAGGACCGGAGUGGACGCAUCACUGGUGUUCGGGUUGUCAUGCCAAUGGCACUGCCCGGUAGCUAAAUGCGGAAGAGAUAAGUGCUGAAAGCAUCUAAGCACGAAACUUGCCCCGAGAUGAGUUCUCCCUGACUCCUUGAGAGUCCUGAAGGAACGUUGAAGACGACGACGUUGAUAGGCCGGGUGUGUAAGCGCAGCGAUGCGUUGAGCUAACCGGUACUAAUGAACC